rnacentral:tRNA from 1 species
GUGGCUGAGGCUCAGUGGUAGAGCGCUUGCCUAGCAUGUGCGAGGCGCUGUGUUCUAUCCUCAGCACCACA